GGGUCAAUGAUGAGAACUCAUAUGGUCUCGAAGACAGAUGAUGACCUAAAAAUUAUGCUCAAUACGAUUACCUAAGGCCC
ensembl:snoRNA SNORD115 Small nucleolar RNA SNORD115